rnacentral:rRNA from 1 species
UACGUAGGGGGCUAGCGUUGUCCGGAAUCAUUGGGCGUAAAGAGCGUGUAGGCGGUCCUGUAAGUCCGCUGUGAAAGUCGGGGGCUCAACCCUCGAAUGCCGGUGGAUACUGUCGGGCUAGAGUGCGGAAGAGGCGAGUGGAAUUCCUGGUGUAGCGGUGAAAUGCGCAGAUAUCAGGAGGAACACCCGUGGCGAAGGCGGCUCUCUGGGACGGUACUGACGCUGAGACGCGAAAGCGUGGGGAGCGAACAGG